rnacentral:rRNA from 1 species
UACGAAGGGGGCUAGCGUUGCUCGGAAUCACUGGGCGUAAAGCGCACGUAGGCGGAUUGUUAAGUCAGUGGUGAAAGCCUACAGCUUAACUGUAGAAUUGCCAUUGAUACUGAUGAUCUUGAGUAUGAUUGAGGUGGGCGGAAUGUGUCAUGUAGCGGUGAAAUGCUUAGAUAUGACACAGAACACCGAUUGCGAAGGCAGCUCACUAAGCCAUAACUGACGCUGAUGCACGAAAGCGUGGGGAGCAAACAGG